GAGCUUAAUGACAGAGCAUCGGCUUGGCAUGCAGAAGGUGCCAGGUUCAAUCCCUGGCCUCUCCA